UGGCCUAUGGAAGACUUAUUCCCUGGUGUCACCUGUGGGGGGGGGGUCCAAGUCUCUCUGAUCAAGGCUUAGUCCGUGGACGGUGUGAGGCCGGCAGGGACCCCUGGUACACCAGUCCGGGUUCUCCCAGAGCCGGGCUGCCUGGGAACGUAGCCUAAAGUAGGUGGUAAACUCUAUCUAAGGCUAAAUAUUAGCACGAGACUGAUAGUUAAUAAGCACCGUAAGG
rnacentral:ncRNA from 1 species